AUGUAUGUUUGGAGAUUUGCUGAAGUUCAUUAUAUAUAUGUAUAAACAUGUGAUUUAUAAUCUAAUGUUAUGGUUUUCUACAUGUUAAAUAUUAUGUGGAUGCUUCCAGUAUUUAUUAUACCUUAAUAUUGCAGGUGUAGAAGAAGCUUGGCAGGGAACAGAUGUCUAUGUGCUGCUCUCAAAAAUAGGGCCAUACCUAAUCUUCUUUGCCGACAUCGCAAGAACCGCUCCAGAUAUGGAGUUUGAGAGUGAGGUCAUGAAUGCCUACAUGCAGCUACUGGUGCGAGACUUUAAUGUGAAGUCAACCGACAGGGCUAUGGCAAUUGACACAUUCGAGAUGUCCAACAUAUGGAAAAGGAAACAACCAAAAGUGAAGCUGGAUCCACACAUGUACAAGUACAUCCUUGGGAUCAUCAAUGAGAACCACCACUGGAAACUCACUGUCAUGAUCCCAUCACAAAAAAAGGCUCUCUUACUCGAUCCUCUUGGGGAAUCCAGUACCGACAUAAAUAGUUGCAAAGAUGUAACAA